CCCUUAGAUGUUCUGGGCUGCACGCGCGCUACACUGAUGCACUCAACGAGUUUACGACCUUGUCCGAGAGGAUUGGGUAAUCUUUUUAAAAUGCAUCGUGAUGGGGAUAGAUUAUUGCAAUUAUUAAUCUUCAACGAGGAAUUCCUAGUAAGCGCGAGUCAUCAGCUCGUGCUGAUUACGUCCCUGCCCUUUGUACACACCGCCCGUCGCUCCUACCGAUUGAAUGUGCCAGUGAAAAGUUCGGAUUGGAGAUAGGAAACGGCAACGUAUCCUAUUUCCGAGAAAAUCUUUAAACUUUCCCAUUUAGAGGAAGGAGAAGUCGUAACA
rnacentral:rRNA from 1 species